rnacentral:rRNA from 1 species
CCUACGGGUGGCUGCAGUGGGGAAUUUUGGACAAUGGGCGCAAGCCUGAUCCAGCCAUGCCGCGUGCAGGAUGAAGGCCCUCGGGUUGUAAACUGCUUUUGUACGGAACGAAAAGCCUCUCUCGAAUAAAGAGGGGUGAUGACGGUACCGUAAGAAUAAGCACCGGCUAACUACGUGCCAGCAGCCGCGGUAAUACGUAGGGUGCGAGCGGGCGUCGGACUUGCGGGGCGGAUCUCGUGCGCCAGCGGUGAAAUCCCCGGGCUCAACCUGGGAACGGCCAUUGUGACUGCAAGGCUGGAGUACGGCAGAGGGGGAUGGAAUUACGCGUGUAGCAGUGAAAUGCGUAGAUAUGCGGAGGAACACCGAUGGCGAAGGCAGUCCCCUGGGCCUGUACUGACGCUCAUGCACGAAAGCGUGGGGAGCAAACAGGAUUAGAUACCCUUGUAGUC